UUGUAUUCACAUAAGUACUUUAAUCAGGCACUUUGACAAGAAGAAAAAAACAUCUGGCACAUCAGGGAAGAUAUAUGAUAUGCGUAGACAUUCGGGGGAACAUGUAUACUAUGGGCUACAUUCGGUAAGAAAGAGGAUGUAAAAUUGUAUAAAUAACAAACUGUAGAAACUGGUGAAUGGACAAAGUAAAAGCUCAAAACAACAUGAUAUCCCAGCUUCUUAAUUUCAGACAUAUAUAGCCUUGUGUUUUAGGGGCAAUUUAACAUGGCUUAACAAACACUUUUAAAGGUUUCUAAGUUGGAGUGAGUGCGUCCCAAAUGGCACCCGAUUCUCUACAUGGUGCACUACUUUUAUAGCACACUAUAGGGAAUAAAGUGCUAUUUGGAAUAUAGCGUCUGUGUCUCAAGGUAUUACUGUAGUUUCUCAGAGCCAAUAAAGGUAACGUUUCUUCAACUAACAUGUUCACAAUUCAAAAUGGCAUGAAGGCUCACAAACUGUCAGGCUAGAAGAAGCUCCAAUGUGACAAAUGAAGGAAAAUGUCACACAGGUCUACAUGGGUUGCGUCCUAAAUGGCACCCUAUUCCUUAUUUAGUGAACUAAUGUAUAGGGAAGUGCACUCCUUUUGCGGAGAAAAAGACCCCCAUAGGGCCCUGGUCAAAAGUAGUGCACUAUAUAGGGAAAUUGGUGUUAUGUUAUGGUACCAAGAAAUGGUGCAUCGUCAGACACUAGUUAUUAGCCAGUUACACCUAACUAUUAGUGAAAACUAAUAAUACUGUAAAUUAACAAUACUGAUAAUUUAAAAUACUGUAGCUCAGAGAAGGAACUAAGAGAAAACUAAAAAGCAACGCCAGCAUUUUAGUUAGUGCUCUGGUCUCAGUCCUGCAUGUGAUUUGAAAAGCAGUAUUUCAGAGAUUAAUCUGGCUAUGUGCAACACAAUGUCCCCUGCAAAGAAAUUAUGAAAAUAUCUGUUGCAACGAGCUCCUCCUGGUUCAGAAUGCUGGAGAGAAUCCCAUCGAUACUAAGAUGAACUUAGUGAGCUACAGUCUGUCAGACGGACACACACAACCCCUACUCAAACCUCAAGAGGUACACAGACAACCCCUACUCAAACCUCAAGAGGUACACACACAACCCCUACUCAAACCUCAAGAGGUACACACACAACCCCUACUCAAACCUCAAGAGGUAUACACACAACCCCUACUCAAACCUCAAGAGGUACACACACAACCCCUACUCAAACCUCAAGCGUUACACACACAACCCCUACUCAAACCUCAAGAGGUACACACAACCCCUACUCAAACCUCAAGAGGUACACACACAACCCCUACUCAAACCUCAAGAGGUACACACACAACCCCUACUCAAACCUCAAGCGUUACACACACAACCCCUACUCAAACCUCAAGAGGUACACACAACCCCUACUCAAACCUCAAGAGGUACACACACAACCCCUACUCAAACCUCAAGAGGUAUACACACAACCCCUACUCAAACCUCAAGAGGUACACACACAACCCCUACUCAAACCUCAAGAGGUACACACACAACCCCUACUCAAACCUCAAGAGGUACACACACAACCCCUACUCAAACCUCAAGAGGUACACACACAACCCCUACUCAAACCUCAUUAGGUACACACACAACCCCUACUCAAACCUCAAGAGGUAUACACACAACCCCUACUCAAACCUCAAGAGGUACACACAACCCCUACUCAAACCUCAAGAGGUACACACACAACCCCUACUCAAACCUCAGGGUUGUCCACAAAGAAUGUAAGCGGGGCGCUGCGCCACAAUGUGUACUGGCUGUGUCACUAUAUAUAUAUAUAUAUAUAUAUAAAUAAAAUAAAUUGGUUUACCCCACCGUACUCAGCAGCACCACCUUGUUAAAAAAAUCCUGGGGAGAAUUCAAACCUCACAGGUCACACACAACCCCUACUCAAACCUCAUGUCAGCUGUUUUGUCUUCUGUCUGUCUGGAUGGUUCGACUACCACUACAAUAACAACUAGACCUGUCUGUCUGGAUGGUAAGACUGCCACUACAAUAACAACUAGAC
ensembl:lncRNA